UGGGGGAUAUUGCACAAUGGGCGAAAGCCUGAUGCAGCGACGCCGCGUGGGGGAUGAAGGCCUUCGGGUUGUAAACUUCUUUUGCUCUGAACAAGGCAUGCUAAUGGGUGUGUUGAGUGUAGGGGUUGAUUAGCGCCGGCUAACUACGUGCCAGCAGCCGCGGUAAUACGUAGGGCGCGAGCGUUGUCCGGAAUUAUUGGGCGUAAAGGGCUUGUAGGUGGCUGGUUGCGUCUGUCGUGAAAGCUCAUGGCUUAACUGUGGGUUUGCGGUGGGUACGGGCUGGCUUGGGUGCAGUAGGGGAGGCUGUAAUUCCUGGUGUAGCGGUGGAAUGCGCAGGUAUCAGGAGGAUUACCGGUGGCGAAGGCGGGUCUCUGGGCUGUUACUGACACUGAGGAGCGAAAGCAUGGGGAGCGAACAGG
rnacentral:rRNA from 1 species